rnacentral:tRNA from 1 species
GUCAGGAUGGCCGAGUGGUCUAAGGCGCCASACUCAAGGUUCAGRACCUUCCACAAGGUGGGCAUUCUGGUCUCUGAAUGGAGGCGUGGGUUCGAAUCCCACUUCUGACA